GGGGGCCCGCACAAGCGGCGGAGCAUGCGGAUUAAUUCGAUGCAACGCGAAGAACCUUACCAAGGCUUGACAUGAACCGGAAAUACCUGGAAACAGGUGCCCCGCUUGCGGUCGGUUUACAGGUGGUGCAUGGUUGUCGUCAGCUCGUGUCGUGAGAUGUUGGGUUAAGUCCCGCAACGAGCGCAACCCUCGUUCUAUGUUGCCAGCGCGUGAAGGCGGGGACUCAUAGGAGACUGCCGGGGUCAACUCGGAGGAAGGUGGGGACGACGUCAAAUCAUCAUGCCCCUUAUGUCUUGGGCUUCACGCAUGCUACAAUGGCCGGUACAAAGGGUUGCGAUACUGUGAGGUGGAGCUAAUCCCAAAAAGCCGGUCUCAGUUCGGAUUGGGGUCUGCAACUCGACCCCAUGAAGUCGGAGUCGCUAGUAAUCGCAGAUCAGCAACGCUGCGGUGAAUACGUUCCCGGGCCUUGUACACACCGCCCGUCAAGUCACGAAAGUUGGUAACACCCGAAGCCGGUGGCCUAACCCCUUGUGGGAGGGAGCUGUCGAAGGUGGGACUGGCGAUUGGGACUAAGUCGUAACAAGGUAACCGUAAGGGC
rnacentral:rRNA from 1 species